GACGAACGCUGGCGGCGUGCUUAACACAUGCAAGUCGAACGAUGAAGCUGGAGCUUGCUCUGGUGGAUUAGUGGCGAACGGGCGAGUAACACGUGAGUAACCUGCCCUGGACUCUGGGAUAACCCCGAGAAAUCGGAGCUAAUACCGGAUAGGACCUCGGAUCGCAUGAUCUGGGGUGGAAAGUUUUUCGGUCGGGGAUGGACUCGCGGACUAUCAGCAUGUUGGUGGGGUAAUGGCGCACCAAGGCGUCGACGGGUAGCCGGCCGGCGACGGGGUCCGGCCACACUGGGACUGUGACACGGCCCAGACUCCUACGGGAGGCAGCAGUGGGGAAUAUUGCACAACGGGCGCAAGCAUGAUGCAGCAACGCCGCGUGCGGGAUGACGUCCUUCGGGUUGUAAACCGCUUUUAGUAAGGAAGAAGCCGCAAGGUGACGGUACUUGCAGAAAAAGGACCGGCUAACUACGUGCCAGCCGCCGCAGUAACAC
rnacentral:rRNA from 1 species